UACGUAUGGUGCAAGCGUUAUCCGGAUUUACUGGGCGUAAAGGGUGCGUAGGCGGACUGUCAAGUCAGCGGUAAAAUUGAGAGGCUCAACCUCUUCCCGCCGUUGAAACUGGUGGUCUUGAGUGGAUGAGAAGUACGCGGAAUGCGUGGUGUAGCGGUGAAAUGCAUAGAUAUCACGCAGAACUCCGAUUGCGAAGGCAGCGUACCGGCAUCCAACUGACGCUGAGGCACGAAAGCGUGGGGAUCAAACAGG
rnacentral:rRNA from 1 species